rnacentral:rRNA from 1 species
CUGGCGGCGUGCCUAAUACAUGCAAGUCGAACGCACUCUCGUUUAGAUUGAAGGAGACUUGCUCCUGAUUGAUAAACAUUUGAGUGAGUGGCGGACGGGUGAGUAACACGUGGGUAACCUGCCCUAAAGUGGGGGAUAACAUUUGGAAACAGAUGCUAAUACCGCAUAAAACCUAACACCGCAUGGUGUAGGGUUGAAAGAUGGUUUCGGCUAUCACUUUAGGAUGGACCCGCGGUGCAUUAGUUAGUUGGUGAGGUAAAGGCUCACCAAGACCGUGAUGCAUAGCCGACCUGAGAGGGUAAUCGGCCACACUGGGACUGAGACACGGCCCAGACUCCUACGGGAGGCAGCAGUAGGGAAUCUUCCACAAUGGACGAAAGUCUGAUGGAGCAACGCCGCGUGAGUGAAGAAGGUUUUCGGAUCGUAAAACUCUGUUGUUGGAGAAGAAUGUAUCUGAUAGUAACUGAUCAGGUAGUGACGGUAUCCAACCAGAAAGCCACGGCUAACUACGUG